GCCGGAGUGGUGAAACUGGUAGACGCGCCGGACUCAAAAUCCGGUGGGGGAAACCUCGUGUCGGUUCGAGUCCGACCUCCGGCA
rnacentral:tRNA from 1 species